rnacentral:rRNA from 1 species
CCCUUAGAUGUUCUGGGCCGCACGCGCGCUACACUGAUGCAUUCAACGAGUCUAAAACCUGGUCUGAUAGGGCUGGGUAAUCUUUUGAAUGUGCAUCGUGAUUGGGAUAGAUGAUUGCAAUUCUUCAUCUUCAACGAGGAAUGCCUAGUAAACGCAAGUCAUCAGCUUGCAUUGAUUACGUCCCUGCCCUUUGUACACACCGCCCGUCGCUCCUACCGAUUGAAUGUUCCGAUGAAUACCAUGGACUGAGAGUAUGAAUGGGUUCGCCUAUUUCUGCUUCUCGGGACGUGGAGUAAAUCUUAACAUUUAGAGGAAGGAGAAGUCGUAACA